rnacentral:rRNA from 1 species
UACGAAGGGGGCUAGCGUUGCUCGGAAUCACUGGGCGUGAAGGGUGCGUAGGCGGGUCUUUUAAGUCGGGGGUGAAAUCCUGGAGCUCAACUCCAGAACUGCCUUUGAUACUGAGGAUCUUGAGUUCGGGAGAGGUGAGUGGAACUGCGAGUGUAGAGGUGAAAUUCGUAGAUAUUCGCAAGAACACCAGUGGCGAAGGCGGCUCACUGGCCCGAUACUGACGCUGAGGCGCGAAAGCUAGGGGAGCAAACGGGG